rnacentral:rRNA from 1 species
UACGUAGGGGGCGAGCGUUGUCCGGAGUUACUGGGCGUAAAGCGCACGCAGGCGGUCUGCUAAGUUUGGAGUGACAGUUGGUGGCUUAACUGCCAAAGUGCUUCGAAAACUGACAGACUUGAGGGCUUCAGAGGGACACGGAAUUCCGGGUGGAGUGGUGAAAUGCGUAGAGAUCUGGAGGAAUACCGGUGGCGAAGGCGGCCCCCUGGACAAAGACUGACGCUCAGGUGCGAAAGCGUGGGGAGCAAACAGG